AUUGAACGCUGGCGGCAUGCCUUACACAUGCAAGUCGAACGGUAACAGGUCUUCGGAUGCUGACGAGUGGCGAACGGGUGAGUAAUACAUCGGAACGUGCCCGAGAGUGGGGGAUAACGGAGCGAAAGCUUUGCUAACACCGCAUACGAUCUCAGGAUGAAAGCAGGGGACCGCAAGGCCUUGCGCUCACGGAGCGGCCGAUGGCAGAUUAGGUAGUUGGUGGGAUAAAAGCUUACCAAGCCGACGAUCUGUAGCUGGUCUGAGAGGACGACCAGCCACACUGGGACUGAGACGCGGCCCAGACUCCUACGGGAGGCAGCAGUGGGGAAUUUUGGACAAUGGGCGCAAGCUUGAUCCAGCCAUGCCGCGUGCAGGAUGAAGGCCUUCGGGUUGUAAACUGCUUUUGUACGGAACGAAACGGCUCUUUCUAAUAAAGAGGGCUAAUGACGGUACCGUAAGAAUAAGCACCGGCUAACUACGUGCCAGCCGCCGCAGUAACAC
rnacentral:rRNA from 1 species